rnacentral:rRNA from 1 species
AGGACGAACGCUGGCGGCGUGCUUAACACAUGCAAGUCACGGGGGCCCGCAAGGGCAACCGGCGAACGGGUGCGUAACACGUGAGCAACCUACCGAGAUGUGGGGGAUAGCCGGCCCAACGGCCGGGUAAUACCGCAUACGCUCUUUCCACGGCAUUGUGGAUUGAGGAAACCUCCGGGGCAUUUCGAGGGGCUCGCGGCCUAUCAGCUAGUUGGUGCGGUCACGGCGCACCAAGGCGACGACGGGUAGCUGGUCUGAGAGGAUGGCCAGCCACAUUGGGACUGAGAAACGGCCCAGACUCCGUACGGGAGGCAGCGAGUGGGGAAUCGUUGCGACAAUGGACCGAAAGGCUAGACGCAGCGACGCCGCGUGUGGGAGGAAGCCGUUUCGGGUAGUAAACCGACGUGUUUCGGCCCCGGGAACGAACCGUAGCCGUUCCGUUUCGGU